rnacentral:rRNA from 1 species
UACGUAGGGGGCAAGCGUUGUUCGGAAUUACUGGGCGUAAAGGGCGCGUAGGCGGCCCAGCAAGUCGGACGUGAAAGCCCGGGGCUCAACCCCGGAAUGUCUUUCGAAACUGCUGAGCUAGAGUGCAGAAGAGGCAACUGGAAUUCCCAGUGUAGCGGUGAAAUGCGUAGAUAUUGGGAAGAACACCUGAGGCGAAGGCGGGUUGCUGGGCUGACACUGACGCUGAGGCGCGAAAGCCAGGGGAGCGAACGGG